rnacentral:rRNA from 1 species
AGUUUGAUCCUGGCUCAGAACGUACGCUGGCGGCACGCCUAACACAUGCAAGUCGAACGAAGUAGCAAUACUUAGUGGCAGACGGGUGAGUAACAUGUAGGUAUCUACCCUUUGGCCAGGAAUAACACGAGGAAACUUGUGCUAAUACCUGAUAAGUCUUUACGGAGAAAGCUUUAUGCACCAUUGGAUGAGCCUGCACUUGAUUAGUUAGUUGGUGGGGUAAAGGCCUACCAAGACUUUGAUCAAUAGCUGAUUUGAGAGGAUGAUCAGCCACAUUGGGACUGAGACACGGCCCAAACUCCUACGGGAGGCAGCAGUGGGGAAUCUUGCACAAUGGAGGAAACUCUGAUGCAGCGAUGCCGCGUGAGUGAAGAAGGCCUUUGGGUUGUAAAGCUCUUUCGUCGGGGAAGAAAAUGACUGUACCCGAAUAAGAAGGUCCGGCUAACUUCGUGCCAGCAGCCGCGGUAAUACGAAGGGACCUAGCGUAGUUCGGAAUUACUGGGCUUAAAGAGUUCGUAGGUGGUUGAAAAAGUUGGUGGUGAAAUCCCAGAGCUUAACUCUGGAACUGCCAUCAAAACUUUUCAGCUAGAGUUUGAUAGAGGAAAGCA